AUCAACGCUGGCGGCGUGCCUCAGACAUGCAAGUCGAACGAUUAAACUUUCCUUCGGGAAAGAUAUAAAGUGGCGCACGGGUGAGUAACACGUAAGUAGUCUACCUUCGAGUGGGGAAUAACGUUCGGAAACGAACGCUAAUACCGCAUAAUGCAGCGGCACCUAAUGGUGACAGUUGUUAAAGGAGCAAUUCGCUUGAAGAGGAGCUUGCGGCAGAUUAGCUAGUUGGUAAGGAACGGCUUACCAAGGCUACGAUCUGUAACCGGUCUAAGAGGACGGUCGGUCACACUGACACUGAAUAACGGGUCAGACUCCUACGGGAGGCAGCAGUCGGGAAUUUGGGCAAUGGGCGAAAGCCUGACCCAGCAACGCCGCGUGAAGGAUGAAGUAUUUCGGUAUGUAAACUUCGAAAGAAU
rnacentral:rRNA from 1 species